GCUAAAUAUAGGGAAAUCUGUGCAACACUAUCCAGAAGCCAUCCUGCAUGACUUGCACCACGGCUCUACUACUCCGUCAACACUUCCGAUAACAUGAUUUUCUUUUUUUUACCAGUCCGAUCCUAGCUACUUUGAUUACAGUCUUCAAUUGUUUUGGUGCCACAUCCUCCCUCUCUGGCUUCUCUCCCCUCUCAGCAGCAGUGUUCUGCAGUAAAUGGCCAUGUUGUUUUAUGGGCAAUUUAGCAGAUGAACAUCAACGCAGCAGGAGGGAAAUAAGCCUAGCAGGAGAGUAUAAGUAUUUCUUACUUUUGGUGUCAAGCUGUGCACGAUACUUCUCAAAUCCUUUGAGCCGAACACGUUCUCCCAAGAGCUGAAGGAAUUCCUCAAACGCCGGGCCGGCAGAUUCAUUGUUGUACAUCUCUUCUUCAGUGCUCUGCCCAGCUCUGCAGUACAUGACGCCCACCUUCUGCUGAUAGUUCAGCUGGGAAGAGAGGCAGUACAGGGCACGUAAAUGUAGGCAGGUCCACCAUGCCCCAUUUUGAUGCUCCUAACACCUGUAGGGCACAGGCCCAUCAGAAAGCUAAUGUUUCUCUUCUCUUGAAAUCCUUCUGUUUUAAUUCUUCUGUCUCUAAUCCAAAAAAUACAGCAGAACGAGCAUUUAUACCUGUCAUCUUCACAAGUUAAGAGAAAGGGCCAGGAAAAUGAAUUAACACUUUCUGUACGACAAGAUCAUGCACCCUUAGAAGGGAGGUUGGUACUUCAGGGAAUUUCUCUGAAUGGAUUACAGGGUACAAAAUGAGACUCUAAAAAACAGCUUGACAACAAAAGGUAGUGCUUUUUUAAUCAUCCCCCCCUUUAGAAAAGGGGAAGUCUUUAUAAAUUUAAAAGCAGAGGUUCACUUUACAAAAGAUACUUCAAAAUAAAUAUUGUUUCACACUAAAAAGCCCAUAAAUGUACUGGCGAAUUUUUAGGUUUUUUUGUCAUUGUUGUUGUUGUUGUUGUUUUGGUUUGGUGUUUUGUUUUUUUUUUUUUUUUUUGAAAAAAGAAGACAUAAAAAUCUCUGAAACAUCAGGAACAGACUGCAAGCUGUCCACCAAUGUAAUAAUGUCUAUAAAUACAAAACUAUAUAAAUUAUCUAUUUCUGUAAAUGAAACUAACCGUAACUUAGUAAAAUCCAUAAAGAAACUAUUACAAAUCAAGAAUAAAAGUAAAAUGCCAGACAUGGCCAUUAUGUCACACACAAAAUCUGCCUCUUCCAGCAAGCCUACAAUUCCUGCCCGGGGGCCCCCACGCCCAAAGAUAAACCAACUCCGGGAUUCAGAGGACAGGGCUAAUCUAAAUAUUUCAUUUUCUAGAUAUCUGAAAAGCUAGUCUGAUUUUAAGAUUCAAAACCUGUAGACCAUGAAAACUAAAUGCUUA
rnacentral:lncRNA from 1 species